UAACAAAAUUAUUAAAAAUUUAUUUUAAAUAUAAAUUUUAGUAUUAUAUUUUAUAUUUAAAAAAUAUAAUUAUGAAAUUUGUAUUAAAAAAUAUUAAAUUAAUAUAAUAAAUUAUGAUUUAAUAAUAUUUAAAUUAUUAACUAAAUUUGUGCCAGCAGUUGCGGUUAUACAAAUAAUAUGAUAUUUUUUUUUAGUAAAUAAUUAAAUAAUAAUUAAUUUUAAAUUAAAUAUUGAAUUAUUAGGUGAAAUUAUGAUUUAAUUAAAUUUUAUAUUAUAUAAUUUUAUAAAAUUUUUAUAUUAACUAGGAUUAGAUACCCUAUUAUUUAAAUUAAAUAAUUUAAUACUAAAAUAGUAAUUUAUUUAUUAUAUGAAACUUAAAUAAUUUGGCAGUAUUUUAUUUUAUUUAGAGGAAUUUGUUUAAUAAUUGAUAAUCCACGAAUUAAUUUACUUAAUUUAAAAGUUUAUAUAUCAUUGUUAAAAAAAUAUUUUUUAUAAAUUUAAAAUAUUUAAAAUUUUUUAAAUAAAAUUAAAUCAAAUCAAGAUUUAAUUAAUAAUUUAGAAUAAAUGAAUUACAAUAAAUUUAUUUAAAUGAAUAUUAAAAUUGAAAUUAUUUAAUUGAAAAAGGAUUUAAAUGUAAUUUUAUUAAUUUUAAUAAAAUGAUUAAAAAUUAAAAUAUGUACAUAUUGCCCGUCACUUUCAUUUAUAAGUUGAAAUAAGUCGUAACAAAGUAGAUGUACUGGAAAGUGUUUCUAGAUAGAA
rnacentral:ncRNA from 1 species